rnacentral:rRNA from 1 species
GUAACCUCAACCUGCAAGCGAAGACCCCGUAGAGCUUUACUGCAACCUGGCGUUGUACAGUCGCACAUUACGUGCUGAGUAGACGGGAGACGCUGAUCCUCGGGACGCCAGUCCCGAGAGUAGUCAACCAUAGAGACACCGUCCUUAGUGUGUAACUGUACUAACUCUUCAUGAGAACACCGCUAGGUGGGCAGUUUGGGUGGGGCGCCACGCGCUCGAAAUGAUAACAAGCGUGCCCAAAGGUCAGCUUAGGUGGUUCAGUCUCCACCGCUAAAUGUAAGGGUAAAAGCUGGCUUGACGUGGAUCGGCACAAUAACGAUCGACGAUGCGAAAGCAGGGCCUAACGAACCAAGUACCUCAUUUAUGGGGGCAGUAGAUAACAGAAAAGUUACCUUGGGGAUAAUUGAGUUGUCACCAGCAAGAGCUCACAUCGACCUGGUGGCUUGCUACUUCGAUGUCGUCUCUUCCUAUCCUGGUGCAGCAGCUGGGAAGGGUGGGGUUGUUCGCCCAUUAAAAGGGAUCGUGAGAUGGGUUUAGACCGUCGUGAGACAGGUUUGUUGCUUUGUGGUUGAGGCGUAUUGAUGCCUGAUCGGAAGGGCCCUUUAGUACGAGAGGAACGGAGUCUCGGAGUCACUAGUCUACCAGUUGUCUGCUAAGGCAAUGCUGGGUAGCCACACUCCAAUGGAUAAGAGCUGAAAGCAUCUAAGCUCGAAGUCAACCUGAAGACGAGGUAUCUCAGAGCUCCGAUAAAAGAUCGGUUCGAUAGACUGCGGGUGUAAGCACCAAGGUUCGCCGAGGUGUUCAGCCCAGCAGCACUAAUCGCUCGAGCAUCUUCUUUA